rnacentral:rRNA from 1 species
AGAGAGAGACAUGCGCGCAUAUCAAUAAGCGGAGGAAAAGAAACUAACAAGGAUUCCCUUAGUAACGGCGAGUGAAGCGGGAAGAGCUCAAAUUUGAAAUCUUCAAGGUUCUACCUUGACGAAUUGUAGUUUAUAGAAGUGUUUUCUGUUAGUGGAGUGGCAAAAGUUCUUUGGAAUAGGACAUCAUAGAGGGUGAGAAUCCCGUACUUGGUCAUUCCUCCUAGCGUUGUGAUACACUUUCAACGAGUCGGAUUGUUUGGGAAUGCAGUCCAAAAUGGGUGGUAAAUUUCAUCUAAAGCUAAAUAUUGGCGAGAGACCGAUAGCGAACAAGUACCGUGAGGGAAAGAUGAAAAGAACUUUGAAAAGAGAGUUAAACAGUACGUGAAAUUGUCAAAAGGGAAGCGUUUGACACCAGUGUUGUUUUCUCGAAAAUCAAUUAAGAAUGGUGGAUUUUGUGAGUGUAUUGACUUAAUCAGGCUUCUGCUACUUCUUUCCGAAUCUUUUUAAUGCACUUUUCGGUUAACAAGUCAACAUCAAUUUCUUUUGUUGUAAAAGAGUCAUUGAGGAAGGUGGCUUUCUUUUCGGAGAAAGUGUUUAUAGCCUUGUACCUUCUGCAAUCGGAGAGAUUGAGGUCUGCAGCGUAGAUCCUUCGGGGUUAGAUACAUUUGUGCUAAGCUAUAGCCUUUUCAUAGACAACUUGUUGACUAUGAUUUAGUCUUGUAGCUUACUCGCUUAUGCUAUUUUACCUACGCUUAGGAUGUUGAUCUGUAGUGCGUGCGC